rnacentral:lncRNA from 10 species
GACCAGGUUUUGUCUUAAAACAUUUAACUCCCCAUUUUGAGAAAGUGCGAACACAAAUCAUGAGGAAACACCAGACAAUGCCAAACUGAGGAACGUUGGGCAACAUAACUGAUCAGUCUUCUUGAAAAGUAUCAGGAUCAUGAAAGCCAAAAAGAUUGAGGAAAUGUGUCAGAUUAAAGAAAACCAAGGAGAAAUGACAACAAAGCACAAUAUGUGAUUCUGGAUUGGAUCCUGGACAAGAAAAAAGUGACAUUAGUAGAUUCUAUAACUGUUAUUUACACCUGUGUUAACUUCAUUGUGACCAUUGUACUGUGGUUAUAUAAAAUGUUAACAUUUGGGGAGUUGGUGAAAGUACAUUAGAAUUCUUUGUGACAUUUUUGCAAUUUUUAUGGAAGUCUGAAAUUA